GCCUCAGCCAAACCAACCCAAGCUGGGCUCACAGGAGAUCCAGCAAUGUUGGAAUUGCUUUUACUCACCUCAUUUUCUUCUUCUCUAUUGCAAUCCAGCCGGGGGAAACAUGGAAAAAAAAACAAAAAAUCAGGAAAAGAGAGUGUGAACAGCAGGUAGGAACAAGAAAUGGAAUAUUGGACAUCUGGAUUUGGGAUGGGAAGGACUUGGGACAUAGAGUGAGGGAAACAUCGAUGGCGCCCGGACACAAACCCAGCUGGGAGGCUCCAAAAUUCCCUGGAAAAUCUCCCAUGGAUCAGGACAGAGCAAACCUUCUUGGAGAGAACUGCUGGCCUGGUGCUGUCUGCAGUUAUUCCAACACAGGAAUAAAAGCCUCAAAAAUGUGACUGAAAAAGGAGGAUUUGGGAUUCUUUCCAUUGGAAUACUUCCUUGGAAUCCUUCCCAUCACUGAAAGUUUCUGCCUCUCAUUAAAGAUAUUAACGAAGGUCUGGCUGCUGUGCAUCUGCCCUGGCUAUUUGCAUAAUUAAUCCCUAUUUUGGCAGCUUGAAAAUGAAUUAAUUAGGAUGGUUCUCCUCCGUGCUGAGCCAACAGGAAAGUUGGGUUUUCCCAGCUUUCCACUCUUCCCAAAUUCCCUGCUCUGAUCCCACAGGGAAGUUGUUUCUCCUCAGGGAAGGAGAAGGAACAGGAACAAAUCUCCCUCUCCUUGAUUGGCUCAAUCCUUGCAGAGUGUCAGGGAAUUUCUUGGCCCUACCAACACCAUCAACAGUUCCUCUGUCAUGGAUCCACCCAAAAUCCCAAAUCCCUCUCCAACACAGCCCAGAGCUGGAAUUCUCCUACAUUUCACCAGCUUUUAUCCAGCGCUGCUGCGGUGACAAAGCCAAAGAUUCCCCACAGAAAAGUUCACAGAUUCCACCUCAAUGAGUGACAAAGCCAAAGAUUUCCCACAGAAAAGUUCACAGAUUCCACCUCAACGAGAAAUACCCAAUUCUGGAAGAAAAAAAAAAUCAAAAUUUUCACUUGGGAGCAAGGCGGUGACGGCACAAGAACCACCCAGGCCCACACUGAAACCAUCCCCAGCCAGAUGGGAGCAAAGGGAAGAGCUGGGAACAACUUUCCCCUCAGGAAUAUCCUCCAAAAAGCUCCCAUCCAACUGAUCCAGCUCGUUAAAAGACCAUAAUUAAUCCCAGAGCAGCACCAAUGGGGGUUGAUUCCAUCAAGGAAAACCCAAGGCGGGAAUUCCGAUUUAACGGGAUCAGGCAGGGCAGGAAUUCCAAACCCCAAAGGUUCACUCCCACUGGAAUUAAGGCCCAAAAGGAGUUUCCAGUUUCAGGAUCACCAAAAGAAGAAGAGUUUGGGACUUUCAGUGGUUUGGUUGGAGGUUUUGUGGGGUUUGGUGAUUGCAUUUGGUGAUUCCAGGGAGAUUUUCCAGAUAUCCCAAACGGAUGCAGCACAGAUUACGACCACCAAGUGGAAUUUGAGGUUUUAAGGCAAAAAUAACUCUCUUUAUGCAUAAAAAUCCACCUUAAAUCAGGUGUAUAUCGAGAGAGAGGUAAUUAAAUAUUGUGUUUAUUGUUAAUGACAAGGAUAAUUAAUGAUGAGGAGAAAAGAGAGUCAGGAUCCUUCAAAUCCCACAGGAAAAAAGAGAGGAAAGAGGGGAUCCCAUCCAUGGAAAUGUCCAAGGUUGGACAGGGCUUGGAGCAAACUGGGAUAGUGGAAAAUGUCCUUGGGUGGGAUGGGGUGAUCCCAUUCCAACCCAAAUAAAAAAUAAAAUAAAAAAAAAAAAAACA
ensembl:lncRNA